UUUUUUGGUACGAUAUUAUUGAAGUUGAUUAUCAGAUACAGUAAAUUUAUAACUGGCAUGUAUAGAAAAUGGGAUUUUUCUGACUUAGAUAUGUUCUCAUAGAGAAUUAUAUGUGUAUAUUACUAAUUUUCAAUAAACUCUUCCUAAGGUCAACUUUUUGUUAAAUGGAUUUAAUCUUUGGAGGAGUGUUUAGAAGAUGUGACAAGACUUUGAGGUCAUAAUUUUAAACCUGAAUCAUCAUUUUUUGUAGACAUGAUUGAGAGAUUUUUAACAUAUUGCCAGAAAUGUAAUUUGUUUUCCCUAGCUUUAAAGGUACUGGUUGGGGGGUGGGCACCUGGGUGGCUCAGUCAUGAUCUCACUCUUGAUUUUGGCUCAGAUCAUGAUCUCACAGUUCAGUGGGUUUGAGCCCUGCAUUGGGCUCUGUGCUGAAAGUGCAGACCCUGCUUGGGAUUCUCUCUCUCUCUCUCUCUCUCUGCCCUUUCCCCCUCCCUCUCUCUGAAAAUAAGUAAAUAAACUUAAAAAAAAAAAAGUUACUGGUGGGGUGCUCUAUAAAAAGCUUCCUAAUAUCCAAGUUCAAGAACUUUUUCUUCUUAGCACAGGCUCAUUUCCCAGAAUGAAUUAGAUGGAUAAUCGCCCUCACUGCCCAUGUAGCUCUCACUGUGGAAACAUGGGUGGUAUGUAUUCACUCCAAAUCUGGAGGGGCUCUUUCUUUCGAGCAAAGGCUUGGGAGGUCUUUGAGCUUCUGUGGCUCUGAAGUCUCAUUUAGGAAGAAGUGGGAAGGCACAUGUUAGGAGUGAGCACGCUGGAGACAUGGGACCAGUGAGUCCACUCAACUGCUGUCCCUGAAGGGACUGAAUUCAGUUCCUACGGGAGCGACUUCCUGCGGCUAAUCUUUCACCUCAGCCCAAAUUUCUUUUUGUGCCAUAGGAUCUUAAUAUUUGGAUGCGUUUGCCAUGGGGUGAGUUUUUAUGUUUCUCUUUGGUUAAAAGUAACUCUCCCCAUGUAAGUGGCAAAGGCAAGACAAAGUAUGCCACUUGCCAGUGGCCACCGUCUCAGUUAAAACCUUUCAAUGGUCUCCAUAGACUCUCCAGCCUCAAAUCUAUCUGUUCACUCUCCCCAGACUUCUGUUCUGUCAACUAUCCUGCUUAAAGACCUCUAUUGGCCAAAUCAGGCAAAACCCUUUGCCUUGGUCUUGUAUGGUUAGAAUCAAACCCAACUGCAGUCACCACCGCCCCUCCCACCGGAAACUAAGGCUCUGACCAAUCAGAUUGCCUCCUCCCCGGAAACUGAGGCUCUGGCCAAUCAGAUUGUUAGCUCUUGGCCUCACCUUUUACACGCCCCUGCCUGCCUGUGUGCAUGUGUGCUUGCCCUUCCUUCUCUCCAGCGAUGCUCCGAGGAGCGUGCAGGUAGAGUCCUUUUAGAACUCAGAGGCUAGAAAAAGCACUUCUAGCUGCCGGGAUGAAGGGAAAGACUCUCAGUAUAAACUGUAUUUUAACUGGGUCUUCAAGGAUGUUAUUAGGUAAACUGAAUGAACUCUGUAUAUAAAUGAAGAAACUAAAACUUGAAGUGUGUUUGUUCAGAAACUAUUUUCUCCCCUCUUGAAACAGAAUGUAGGUUUGAAAUAAAACAUAACAAAGCAAUGACAGCAUACAGUCCUAUAAUAAUUCAAGUUAUAAGAAUUUCAAUCUGUACUCUUGUUAAAUGAAAUUUCUUGCAAUAUGAAAAAAACUAGGCAAUCCAUAUACUAAGCUGUAUACUUCUACGUCUUUUAAUGUGUACUCUGAGAUCAAAUAUUUCCCAAUAUGGGCAUCUAUAGAUUGAUACAUUGUAUCUGUUGGGCUGAAACAGACCGCUUUAUAUGGGAUUUUCAUUUUCAUGUCUGACCUUCCUUGUUACCAGGCCAUUUGUUAGUUGACGGGCAGAAGUAAGAGUCAAGUCUGGGCAAGGGUUUCACCCAAAAGAAGCCCGUGAGCCUGCUUCACUAGGACUAAGGACGAAUUCUUUUUGACUUUUUAUCUUCUUCUUAUCUUACUUGUAUAAAUCCUGUUUGUAAUUUUCACUUGACUUACUGUUAUAAUAUUAUGCAGAAUAUUCAUAUGUGGUUAUAUAUUGUAAUAGUGUAUAUCAGCUAUAUGGUUUCCAAACACGACCUGGCAAUUACAUAACUAGCUCAAAGCUCAAGUUCAGGCCAUCUCCCACCCCCCCUCCCCCACCCCCCUUAGGAUUCACCAUAGUUUGAGCUGCACGAGCAAGGCUUCUUCAUUUCCUCCUAUAGCAACAGAGUGUGUUGCUAUUGGGUCUCACUUGAAAGAUAGUUUUAUUUGGGGAGGGAACUGACUUUUGUGUAUUUAUAAUUAUGAGAAAGGUGGUGUAGCACGGUGGUUAAGAGCAAGGCUUCUAGAGUCAGAUUGCCCGGGAUUCAGUUCCAGCAAGACCCUUUAUUCGCUGUUGAACUUUGGCUAAGGUAGUUAGUUAACCUCUGUUUCAGUCUUACCAUCUGUGAAACAGAGAUGCCCAAAGCUGUGCUCAUAAGACUGUGAUUAAGGCUUACAUGAGUAUAUCUAUGCAUACGUUCCCUCUCUCAUAUAAUAUAAAAUAUAUGGCAUGAUAUAUAAUGUAACAUGUAUGAGAGAGAAACCAUUUAGAAUAGUAUCUUGUGCAAAAUAAGUAGUUGGUAAAUAAUAAUCUUAUUAGGUAAUGAUUAUGUAAUGUAAUUUCUAUAGUAAGGCCCAAAGACCUUAGCUGAAAGAGGAAAUAGCUGCUAAUAAAUUUGUUCAUUGCAUCUUUGUUUAUAAAGCUAUGCCCAGAGUCAAACAACCAAAAGAAUUAUUUUAUAUUACCCCCAAAUAUUUGGAUUUUGUCUUCACUGCAUUUCAAACUGCAAGUCUAAGUUCAUUGAAAACUUUCAUUGCUGGCCCCUUGAUUCAGCCCUGAGAACCUAAUUUCGAGGUUUGUACCUGUUCAUCUUGGCUCACCACGGGCUCACGUGUAAAGGAAGCCUGGACCAGAGGGUCUGUCGUGGGAUGUUUUGGUCUAUCUUCUUUCUUCUAUGAAUGACUUGUCUCUAAUUACAAAUGCCUGUGAGGUUUGAACUGUUUGAACUGCCGGUAUAAAUUGAUCAAAUGCACUGAAAGACUGUCAAAACCCUAGCGCAUUUUUGUGUUAAAGGCAGAUCACUCCAUGAAGGAAAAAGAAGGCAAGAUGCUUAUUGUGCCCUGAACUCUGAAAUCGUUAGCACUACUUGCCAUUCCGCUAGUGUCUAGCUUCAUACAUCCGAUACUUUGGGUCCAGCAUAGCAGCGAAGGGACCACAGGUUUUCUGGAUCUUAGGGCUGGAAGGGACUUUGGGCUGAUCUAAUGCUGGGCUCCCUCUCCCAGCUGAGGAAACUGAGACUUACUAUGUUUAAAGGACACAUCAUUCACAUGGAUAUGAUUCCAUUUGAGUUUAAAGGGUGAGAUUAACAAGAAAGACAAUGACUUGUCAUUUAACGGCCAUCAGCAUCCUCUGAAUUCUGAAUUCUGGGGCACUGGAAGACAUUCCAAGUUCUUGUUUGGCUGCUUCGCUCUUUGAAACUUGUUGAAAAUACAUAAAAAAUAUUCUAUCUGAAAAAUUUAUAUUUACGACUGUUUCUUUUUCUGUGGUUUUCUAGAGCAAGCUGACCUUCCUGAAGAGCUGCUAAAGGAUUUCUCUCCUUCAUCACUGAAGUGGAGCCCAGCAACUAGUAUAUCUGAUAAACUGCAAGACACAGAUUUAGGAUUCUCAAAGCUACUGUCAGCAUAGACACAGCCUCGGUUUUUCCAUCUGCAAAAUGCCAAUAAUUACGCCUGCUGCUGCCAGAAUGAUCUUGAAGAAUAAUGAGAAAAUGCCUAUAAGAACACUUAGAGUAACUCAGAAUAAACCUGUCAGAGAAAUGCCAAGAAUUAUUACCCUG